UAGUUAUAAUUAGCUGAUAAACUAACAUUGUAAUAAUAAUAAUAAUAUUAAUAAAAAUGAUUCAAUUAAGAUCCUGACAAAAGGCUAUAUAUUUCUUAUGUAGGAGCAUUACUUAAGUUCCUGUCACCACCACUUCUGACAGAAGAUUGUCCAGUCCCUCCUGACAGUGAAAAUGGAGCAUCACUUAAGAUCCUGUCACCACCACUUCUGACAGAAGAUUGUCCAGUCCCUCCUGACAGUGAAAAUGGAGCAUCACUUAAGAUCCUGUCACCACCACUUCUGACAGAAGAUUGUCCAGUCCCUCCUGACAGUGAAAAUGUGACAUAUACCUUGUUGACAUUGGAACAACAACCUGC